rnacentral:ncRNA from 2 species
UUUGAACCAGCCUUUGUAAGUUCCUGUGCAAAUGUCUGCACAUGGAUUAAAAGGGAAAUCGGUGUAAUUCCGGUACGAUCCCGUCACUGUGAUAGGGAGCUGCAGAACAUAAUCUCACUGGAUGGACAGUUGUCAGUCUGGGAAGGGGUUCUGGAGCGAGGAUCUUAAGUCAGGAGACCUGCUUAUAAAUGAUUUGAUAU